AUUGAACGCUGGCGGCAUGCCUAACACAUGCAAGUCGAGCGAGGGGCGGACGGGUGAGUAAUGUAUCGGAACCUGCCCUAUAGCGGGGGAUAACUACUGGAAACGGUGGCUAAUACCGCAUACUAUUGGAUUAACCCAUAUUGGAUUAGCUAGUAGGUGGGGUAAAGGCUCACCAAGGCAACGAUCUCUAGCUGGUCUGAGAGGAUGAACGGCCACACUGGGACUGAGACACGGUCCAGACUCCUACGGGAGGCAGCAGUGGGGAAUCUUGCACAAUGGGCGAAAGCCUGAUGCAGCCAUGCCGCGUGUAUGAUGAAGGCCUUCGGGUUGUAAAGUACUGUUAGCAGGGAAGCGGUACCUGCAGAAUAAGCCCCGGCUAACUACGUGCCAGCAGCCGCGGUAAUUC
rnacentral:rRNA from 1 species